rnacentral:rRNA from 1 species
AGUGAACGCUGGCGGUAGGCCUAACACAUGCAAGUCGAACGGCAGCACAGUAAGAGCUUGCUCUUACGGGUGGCGAGUGGCGGACGGGUGAGGAAUACAUCGGAAUCUACUUUUUCGUGGGGGAUAACGUAGGGAAACUUACGCUAAUACCGCGUACGACCUACGGGUGAAAGCAGGGGAUCUUCGGACCUUGCGCGAUUGAAUGAGCCGAUGUCGGAUUAGCUAGUUGGCGGGGUAAAGGCCCGCCAAGGCGACGAUCCGUAGCUGGUCUGAGAGGAUGAUCAGCCACACUGGAACUGAGACACGGUCCAGACUCCUACGGGAGGCAGCAGUGGGGAAUAUUGGACAAUGGGCGCAAGCCUGAUCCAGCCAUACCGCGUGGGUGAAGAAGGCCUUCGGGCUGUAAAGCCCUUUUGUUGGGAAAGAAAAGCAGCAGGUUAAUACCCCGCUGUUCUGACGGUACCCAAAGAAUAAGCACCGGCUAACUUCGUG